UACUACCGAAGCUACGGCAUCAGUAAUGAUGGGUAGGGGAGCUUCCCAUACGGGUUGAAGCAUGACCGUAAGGACAUGUGGACAGUAUGGGAGUGGGAAUGUUGGCAUGAGUAGCGAGAUGUGGGUGGGAAUCCCACAGGCCGUAAACCCAAGGUUUCCAGGGGAAGGUUCGUCCACCCUGGGUUAGUCGGGACCUAAGCUGAGGCCGAAAGGCGUAGGUGAUGGACAACAGGUUGAUAUUCCUGUACUACCGAUAACCGUUUGAGAGAAGGGAUGACACAGUAGGAUAAGCUAAGCACACUGUUGGUUAUGUGUGCCCAAGCAUUGAGGCAGUCAAAGUAGGCAAAUCCGCUUUGAUAAUGCUGGGAUGUGAUGGGGAGCGAAAUUUAGUAGCGAAGUAGCUGAUUUCACACUGUCAAGAAAAGUCUCUAUCGAGGUUAAAGGUACCCGUACCGCAAACCGACACAGGUG
rnacentral:rRNA from 1 species